rnacentral:rRNA from 1 species
CGGAACGGGUGAGUAAUGCGUGACCAACCUGCCCCAUGCUCCAGAAUAGCUCUUGGAAACGGGUGGUAAUGCUGGAUGCUCCAACUUGACGCAUGUCUUGUUGGGAAAGUGUUUAGUGGCAUGGGAUGGGGGUCGCGUCCUAUCAGCUUGUAGGCGGGGUAAUGGCCCACCUAGGCUUCGACGGGUAGCCGGCCUGAGAGGGCGGACGGCCACAUUGGGACUGAGAUACGGCCCAGACUCCUACGGGAGGCAGCAGAC